AAGAAGCACUGCGUUUCGCACAUCUCACAGCAUCUAUAAACAUACUUGGAGGUAUUGCCAAAUAAAACAACCUAUUUGAUGAUCUUCCAGACUCUUUCUCUUUGAGCUUCUCGUCUAACUCCAUGAAAUGCUUUUCUGAACUGUACUGACCCGAAUGGCAAAAGCAUUUCUUUAGAAAUUGAUCCAUCUUUUCAUUGCAAUUUUGCCUCUUGUCUAUUUUGCAAGUCAGAUUCAUGAUUAUCAUGUUCCUGAGCUCCUCAUUGGUCAUCUUGCUACGUGCAUAGCCAAAAAUUGUAACAUUCUGAGGUAGGCGAUCUUCGCAGAAAAGU
rnacentral:misc_RNA from 1 species